ensembl:lncRNA SATB2-AS1 SATB2 antisense RNA 1
GGGAGCAGUUCUGUAAAUCCCUGCUGGGAGCAGAGACUGCGAAAAGCUGAGUCCGCCGAUCGUGCCCGGGACAAGGCUGCCUUCCACUCGCCCUCGCCGCAUCUACCUGGUAGGCGGCAUGCGCACGGGCUUAGAGGCUUGAGAGCCUCUGGAAGAGAAAGGGUCCCAGGAAGGAAACCUGCCCCCGGCCUAAGUGUCGGCGCCCAGAUCACCACGAACCCCGCACCUAGGCGCCGCCCACCAAGUUCCAAAGAAGUCCGAGGCGACCUGGGAGUCGGUCGGAUCCCAGCCGAGAAAAGAAACAAGCAGGAUAGCAAUUCUUAGGGGAGCCACCCUGGGAGUUUUAGGCAGCGUUUGCCUUUCCCUGGUUUUCUUCACCAAGCCCCAUCCUCCCCCCGCAUACCACCCCCAGUCAAAAGAGUGGGAGAAAAUGCACAGUUCGAAGUCGGUGAGAGCAAAAAUGGGUCUAGUAAAUCAACCCGUGGUGGUAGCUAAAAGGUUUGGGGCUGCAAAGAAACAAACUGUAAGUUUUGAGCAACAAACUUUUUCUUCAAUCUGUAAUAUGUCGAAAUGGGAAGGGGGUGUUGCAAAAGCCAACUACCACUGUCAAACUUAGCCCGUUUACAACAUGGGGAAAGGCGUAUUUCUUACUAAUAUCUCAACAACGAUAACAAUGCUGUAUCCUUCCUUACCUUGAUGUUGAACUGCGAAUCCUCCUCCGGAUCAAUGUCCAGGAACUUAGAAGAAUUGGUGAUAUUAGGAGUUCAGUACUUCUGGAAAAAAAUGCAAAUGGUUUAGCCAGGAUCUUUCCUGUCUGAUUCGUCACUAUUAUUAUAUCUGAUGAUGCGAAUGGUUGGAGCGAUUCAAUCCUAAGUCAUUAAUGAGCUAUUUUAUAAACACCACUGUCUGAAGAUCUUCAUUUACAUUUUGCUAAGGAUCACUUCGCUAACCUCACAGGCUUGUGUCAACAGCAUGAUUUGCAGGACUUCAGUUACACUCUUAUAAACAACACGGCUGUAUUGUUAAUCGGUUAAUAUUUUAUAAAGUGUAAAUAUUUUAUUAUGUUUUGAAGGGAACUAUUGAUUCUAAAUUAUUAAACCCCUGAGAAGGACUAUUUAAAUGAAAUAUACAAUUAAGUACAAUUAAAUGUACAUUGUGGUUAGUUUGUUUUCAGAUUCUGCACCCUUUUAAAUUCAUUGCUUUUCUCUUUACUGGAGUUUCCUCUUGUCCAUUUCUGAUACUGAAAAAAAUCUAUCAUGUUAGGAAAAAGCCUAAAUUAUUUAAAGUUGCAUUAAACUUAGAGGAAAAUGUCAAAUACGAUUAAUUAUGACCAGAAAUGUAUUUUGGAUGUUUGUAGAGUUGUAUUUCAUAUCACAUUUUACAAAUUUCUUCCGAUUUAAAGGAGAGUUCUAGGAAGUUUUGUGAUCUAUGUCCGGUGUGGGUUUUUGUCCUCUCGAGUUUUGUCUCUAAUAAAGGCCUUUUUUGUUUCAAAUUACAUACGCUUUUUACUGCACAAUUUUUGUAUUGACCUUAUUUCAACUGAAGCGAUUAUUUCCAGCAGGUUUAAUUUCGACAAUAAGAUAUAUUUUAAUAGUUUUACCUUUCGCUAGAAUUUUGUAUUGUUUAAAACAGUAAAUGAAUAAAUUUGCUGAUGAUUCAAGAA